GACACUUUGGCCGAGUGGUUAAGGCGAUGCCCUGCUAAUAAUGUUCCAUGACGUCUUUGGCUGACGUAAGGCAUUGGGUUCUACCCGCGUGUGUUCGAAUCGCACAGGUGUCG